GACGAACCGUCCAAACGUUAUUCGGAAUUACUGGGCUUAAAGGGUGCGUAGGCGGCGCGGAAAGUUGGGUGUGAAAUCCCUCGGCUCAACCGAGGAACUGCGCCCAAUACUACCGUGCUUGAGGGAGAUAGAGGUGAGCGGAACUUAGGGUGGAGCGGUGAAAUGCGUUGAUAUCCUAAGGAACACCGGUGGCGAAAGCGGCUCACUGGAUCUCUUCUGACGCUGAGGCGCGAAAGCCAGGGGAGCAAACGGG
rnacentral:rRNA from 1 species